UACGUAGGUGGCAAGCGUUGUCCGGAAUCAUUGGGCGUAAAGGGCGCGUAGGCGGGUUUUUAAGUCAGAUGUGAAAUGUCCGGGCUCAACCCGGGAUGUGCAUCUGAUACUGGAAGUCUUGAGUGCUGGAGAGGGCAGUGGAAUUCCUAGUGUAGCGGUGAAAUGCGUAGAUAUUAGGAGGAACACCAGUGGCGAAGGCGACAUACUGGCUCAUUACUGACGCUGAGGUGCGAAAGCGUGGGGAGCAAACAGG
rnacentral:rRNA from 1 species